rnacentral:rRNA from 1 species
GACGAACGCUGGCGGCGUGCUUAACACAUGCAAGUCGAACGGAAAGGCCCUGCUUUUGUGGGGUGCUCGAGUGGCGAACGGGUGAGUAACACGUGAGUAACCUGCCCUUGACUUUGGGAUAACUUCAGGAAACUGGGGCUAAUACCGGAUAGGAGCUCCUGCUGCAUGGUGGGGGUUGGAAAGUUUCGGCGGUUGGGGAUGGACUCGCGGCUUAUCAGCUUGUUGGUGGGGUAGUGGCUUACCAAGGCUUUGACGGGUAGCCGGCCUGAGAGGGUGACCGGCCACAUUGGGACUGAGAUACGGCCCAGACUCAUACGGGCGGCAGCAGUGGGGAAUAUUCCACACUGGGCGGAAGCAUGAUGCAGCAACGCCGCGUGCGGGAUGACGGCCUUCGGGUUGUAAACCGCUUUCGCCUGUGACGAAGCGUGAGUGACGGUAAUGGGUAAAGAAGCACCGGCUAACUACGUG